rnacentral:lncRNA from 1 species
CAUCACCCAGGCUCAUUAUUUUAUGAGGAAAUAUUGUGUAUUUCCUUAUCUAGAUGUGGUCAAGCACCUUUUUUCUUCCAGUAUUGAUACAGGUCUUCCAGAUUUAAGAUAUUGCAGCUUCUAGAAGACUUUCAUUCCUAAAAACCAUGAAAGGUAUCAUCUGUUAAAGAUUCUGCACUGUGUGUUGAUGGGGAUACUGCAGUUUGCAUCAUCUUUCAUCAAAAAACAUUAAAAAAAAAGAUUUUCUCAAUCUGGACUCAAGCAGAGACGCAAUUGAGGUGUGGAGCGGCAUUGUUGCUGUUAGAAUUCCAACCAAGACAGGAGUGCAGGCAAAUGAAAAUCUUCGUGAGUAAAACAAAGAAUUUCACUGGAACUUUAGCUUUGAGUUGGUUUUCAAUUUCUUGAGGUGUCUUAGGUGUGUUUUUUAAAGUAAUCUCUAUACCCAAGGUGUGGCUCAAACUCACAACACUGAGAUCAAGAGUCAUAUGCUCCACCAACUGACCAGCCAGGUGUCCUGAGGUAUUUUAGGGUUUAAUCAAUAUUUCCAUGUAGUCCCAAUCUGAUCAAAGAAGUUUAAACACAUAAUUUGAGGUAUGACUGGGAAUAGACAGUGCUUAUUCAGGAACAUAGCUCCUGAGCAAUUUCACCUUGUGCUUUCCAGCACUUAAGAUGCUUCUUGAGUUUAGCCUUAAGGCCUCCAGGUAGAUAUAUUUGAGGGUAAGUCUCAAUAAGAUAAGUGGUGUUGACCUUCUCAGAGCACCUGGAUGCCAGAGUGGAUUUCAUCCAGAUAGCCUGAUCGUGGUAGGAGCAGAAAAAUCAACAAGGGCAUCCUAUGUUUCAUAGGCGUUUUGAUCACUGCUGGCAAGGGCCCAGUCUCCUCAGUGCUUCUGUCUCAGGAUAUAAGUCAAAGAACCACAUUGUCCAUAAGUGGCGCUUAAAGAAUGAACCAAGUGACUGAAUCUAGACCUCUUCCAUUAUCUUGAAUCGCAUCUAGUCUUUUCAGCUGACUAAUAAAAUAGUAAGACAGAUGAGUGAUAUUCUUACUGAUAAGAUGUUGGGUACAUUGAUGUAUUCUUACUCAAUACAUCUU